GGGUUGUGAGGUUAAGCGACUAAGCGUACACGGUGGAUGCCCUGGCAGUCAGAGGCGAUGAAGGACGUGCUAAUCUGCGAAAAGCGUCGGUAAGGUGAUAUGAACCGUUAUAACCGGCGAUGUCCGAAUGGGGAAACCCAGUGCAAUUCGUUGCACUAUCGUUAACUGAAUACAUAGGUUAACGAGGCGAACCGGGGGAACUGAAACAUCUAAGUACCCCGAGGAAAAGAAAUCAACCGAGAUUCCCCCAGUAGCGGCGAGCGAACGGGGAGCAGCCCAGAGUCUGAAUCAGCUUGUGUGUUAGUGGAACGGUCUGGAAAGUCCGACGGUACAGGGUGAUAGUCCCGUACACCAAAAUGCACAGGCUGUGAACUCGAAGAGUAGGGCGGGACACGUGGUAUCCUGUCUGAAUAUGGGGGGACCAUCCUCCAAGGCUAAAUACUCCUGACUGACCGAUAGUGAACCAGUACCGUGAGGGAAAGGCGAAAAGAACCCCGGCGAGGGGAGUGAAAAAGAACCUGAAACCGUGUACGUACAAGCAGUGGGAGCACCUUCGGGUGUGACUGCGUACCUUUUGUAUAAUGGGUCAGCGACUUAUAUUCUGUAGCAAGGUUAACCGUAUAGGGGAGCCGCAGGGAAACCGAGUCUUAACUGGGCGUUAAGUUGCAGGGUAUAGACCCGAAACCCGGUGAUCUAGCCAUGGGCAGGUUGAAGGUUGGGUAACACUAACUGGAGGACCGAACCGACUAAUGUUGAAAAAUUAGCGGAUGACUUGUGGCUGGGGGUGAAAGGCCAAUCAAACCGGGAGAUAGCUGGUUCUCCCCGAAAGCUAUUUAGGUAGCGCCUCGUGAACUCAUCUUCGGGGGUAGAGCACUGUUUCGGCUAGGGGGUCAUCCCGACUUACCAACCCGAUGCAAACUACGAAUACCGAAGAAUGUUAUCACGGGAGACACACGGCGGGUGCUAACGUCCGUCGUGAAGAGGGAAACAACCCAGACCGCCAGCUAAGGUCCCAAAGUCAUGGUUAAGUGGGAAACGAUGUGGGAAGGCACAGACAGCCAGGAUGUUGGCUUAGAAGCAGCCAUCAUUUAAAGAAAGCGUAAUAGCUCACUGGUCGAGUCGGCCUGCGCGGAAGAUGUAACGGGGCUAAACCAUGCACCGAAGCUGCGGCAGCGACACUAUGUGUUGUUGGGUAGGGGAGCGUUCUGUAAGCCUGCGAAGGUGACCUGUGAGGGUUGCUGGAGGUAUCAGAAGUGCGAAUGCUGACAUAAGUAACGAUAAAGCGGGUGAAAAGCCCGCUCGCCGGAAGACCAAGGGUUCCUGUCCAACGUUAAUCGGGGCAGGGUGAGUCGACCCCUAAGGCGAGGCCGAAAGGCGUAGUCGAUGGGAAACAGGUUAAUAUUCCUGUACUUGGUGUUACUGCGAAGGGGGGACGGAGAAGGCUAUGUUAGCCGGGCGACGGUUGUCCCGGUUUAAGCAUGUAGGCUGGUUGUCCAGGCAAAUCCGGAUAAUCAAGGCUGAGGUGUGAUGACGAGGUACUACGGUGCUGAAGUAACAAAUGCCCUGCUUCCAGGAAAAGCCUCUAAGCAUCAGGUAACAUCAAAUCGUACCCCAAACCGACACAGGUGGUCAGGUAGAGAAUACCAAGGCGCUUGAGAGAACUCGGGUGAAGGAACUAGGCAAAAUGGUGCCGUAACUUCGGGAGAAGGCACGCUGGUGUGUAGGUGAAGUCCCUGCGGAUGGAGCUGAGACCAGUCGAAGAUACCAGCUGGCUGCAACUGUUUAUUAAAAACACAGCACUGUGCAAACACGAAAGUGGACGUAUACGGUGUGACGCCUGCCCGGUGCCGGAAGGUUAAUUGAUGGGGUUAUCCGUAAGGAGAAGCUCUUGAUCGAAGCCCCGGUAAACGGCGGCCGUAACUAUAACGGUCCUAAGGUAGCGAAAUUCCUUGUCGGGUAAGUUCCGACCUGCACGAAUGGCGUAAUGAUGGCCAGGCUGUCUCCACCCGAGACUCAGUGAAAUUGAACUCGCUGUGAAGAUGCAGUGUACCCGCGGCAAGACGGAAAGACCCCGUGAACCUUUACUAUAGCUUGACACUGAACAUUGAGCCUUGAUGUGUAGGAUAGGUGGGAGGCUUUGAAGCGUGGACGCCAGUCUGCGUGGAGCCAACCUUGAAAUACCACCCUUUAAUGUUUGAUGUUCUAACGUUGGCCCCUUACCGGGGUUGCGGACAGUGUCUGGUGGGUAGUUUGACUGGGGCGGUCUCCUCCCAAAGCGUAACGGAGGAGCACGAAGGUUAGCUAAUCCUGGUCGGACAUCAGGAGGUUAGUGCAAUGGCAUAAGCUAGCUUGACUGCGAGCGUGACGGCGCGAGCAGGUGCGAAAGCAGGUCAUAGUGAUCCGGUGGUUCUGAAUGGAAGGGCCAUCGCUCAACGGAUAAAAGGUACUCCGGGGAUAACAGGCUGAUACCGCCCAAGAGUUCAUAUCGACGGCGGUGUUUGGCACCUCGAUGUCGGCUCAUCACAUCCUGGGGCUGAAGUAGGUCCCAAGGGUAUGGCUGUUCGCCAUUUAAAGUGGUACGCGAGCUGGGUUUAGAACGUCGUGAGACAGUUCGGUCCCUAUCUGCCGUGGGCGCUGGAGAAUUGAGGGGGGCUGCUCCUAGUACGAGAGGACCGGAGUGGACGCAUCACUGGUGUUCGGGUUGUCAUGCCAAUGGCACUGCCCGGUAGCUAAAUGCGGAAGAGAUAAGUGCUGAAAGCAUCUAAGCACGAAACUUGCCCCGAGAUGAGUUCUCCCUGAGACUUUAAGUCUCCUGAAGGAACGUUAAAGACGAUGACGUUGAUAGGCCGGGUGUGUAAGCGCAGCGAUGCGUUGAGCUAACCGGUACUAAUGAACCGUGAGGCUUAACCUUACAACGCCGAAG
rnacentral:rRNA from 1 species